GUCGCUGUGUCCAUUUCUUUUACUGUCUAUGGCUCUGACAGACGGCUUCCCCUGCUUGCCUCCUCUCUCCUCUUCCUUUCUCUUUAAAUAAACAUUCAUUAGACUACAUGACAAAUGGUCAACCAGCUGCCAAAGGCCCCUCCCCCUGUCGUCACGGCGAUCAAGGCGAAGGCGGAGCCUGACGCUCUGCACACCCAGGACGCUCGGUAUCCAGGAGACAGUGGAAUCCUCCAAAUCCCUGCCACGCA